GUAUGUGUAUAACUGAAUCACUUUGUUGUACAGCAGAAAUUAUCACAACAUUAUAAAUUGGCUAACUUCAGUAAAACUUUAAAAAAUGAAAAGCAUACACACAUAGACUUAGCAGAUUGCUUAGUCUUAAUCAAUAUAAACAGUAAUCAGUAAUCAAUAUAACCAUCAUAAAAUUUGGGGUUCCUAUAGAACAUCCUCACCUGGCUACUGCAAAGAUAAUCCUACCUACCUUACUCCUUCCCUCUUAAAAUCAAUGUUUAAUCAUACCUGUGAUAAACAAAUAUGUUCUCUCUCCAAAAAAACCAAAUCACUACUGACAAAGCAAAAAUUCAACAUUUAUUUUGGGGUUAUAAAGUAAUUCGUUCUGAACGGAUCUCCACGAGUAAAGGAAAGCAAUUAAUUCAAAUGAGCUUUCUUUUCACAGCCCUUGAAGGGGGAGUGUUGAGAAUGAAUCCCCUGGAAUUUGCCCAAUUUUCUGUUUGCUUGUGCAGGGGAGCCUGGCCAUGUGUUGCCUUAGUUAACAACUCGUGUCUAGGGCUCAGCUCACUAAAAGGAAUUUCAGAGGUCAUGUAGUUUAUUGCCUGUCUGGAAGUAAGACCUGCAGGGAAUCCAUUUCUCAAGGGGAUCUGGCAAUGGCAUAUACUCAAAAAAUCAAAGAGAUAGUUUAUGUUUUUUUUUCCUCUAUAAUCAUUUGUCUUUCUGUGGAUCAGAAUAAUAUUCAUUCUACUAUUAAAAAAACAGUAAAAUUUUGUGCCAUGAUUCUAAAAAACUUUUUCUACCUGUUUUGUUAUCUUUUCCUGUAGGGCUAUCUUUCAGGGAUGGCAAUGAGAAGAAAAGCAGAAUUAAAGGCGCUUCUGAGAAAUUAAAAAUUUUUUUAGGAGGUUUUGUUUUUUUUUUUCAGGUAGAAGAAAAAUUAGGGACCUGAGGUUCCUUUUAUUAUUGCUCUUCAAAAAAUAUCACAAAUAGCUUUUACCUUUUUCUUUUUUUUAAAACAGUUCAGCCAUUUUUAUUUUAAAAUAACCUUUAGUUUAGAAAAAAGGCAAUGCAAAACUUCUGUAAAGGCUGAAGCAUCUGAAUAAUGAUAUUCCCUGGGGGAUUUGGAGGACUAAGGUUAGAUCUUAUAUCAGAAUUGCCAGUUUUUUUCAAACUGUAUUGGCUCAUUAAGGGCAAAACAGAAUUAGUGGGGAUUGAAGGCGAUAUAGAGAGGGCAGCAGUCCCUUCCUGUGGACACUGGUUAAUGCUGCAUUUUGUCAAAAUUGUUGAGAGGGUCUUGAAUGAGUGAACAUUCGUCCAGGUUCCUUCCUCCCUCCCUUUCCUUUUUUUGGGGGUGGGGAGGGGUGGGGGAGAAUCUGUUGAGAAUCCAAACUCACUUGCUUCCUACCAAAGAAGCUGAAAAAGGCCAGGUAGUUGUCCCCAUCCCUCUCUUACCAGCAAAGUGUGAGAACAUUCUUCAGCUUGACCAAUCACAUGCUCUCACUGGAACUUUGAAUUAGGUGCGGCGGAUAGCAGGACAGCUCCUGUUCCCAAGGGCAGCGAGGCAAGUUGGUGCUCGGAGUCUGGAGCUGGGGAGGGUCAGCAGCAGCAGCAAAGGAACCCACACAUGUGCCUGGUCCUGGAUCCCUGGACUUGCUGGCCCAUUUUGGGAGCAACGCACUGUGCUUCUGGCAUGUUCUUCUUGUGAUGCAGCCAUUCCAAGUGGGUUUCUGUGGCCAGCCAUAAGAUCCUCACAAACACAGGCUCUUUCUGAGGUUUGGACCUGCGGAUGCAGAAGUUAACUGGAGCCCCAGCCCCACAGCCUAGAGGCAUCAGUUGUGUGAGGUGGGGGGGCAGGUUUCCUAAAGCCAGACCUGCUCCCUCUCACCUGAUUCCACUUCAGAACACUUUUCUUGCCAAAAUCAGAACCUGAAGGAGAACAAUAUAAUCACCCACAACUCAGAGAAUAGAGUCAAAGAAGCAUAGUUUUAGGAAAAACAUUCAUGUCACCCUUCCCCGCCCUUCCAACACCAGUUGAAUUCCUAUUCUUUCAUGGAGAGCAGCAGCUGUGCAAAAGGCACUGGUGUCUUGGGGUUCAGUGUCGGGGUUCGCUUAGCUAAGCCUUAUUGAAGACAAACUUGCCAGCAGCUGAUGGUUACCUUUUUCUCUUUACUUCCCACCUGUCCACUGAAUCCAUUUAGGGGUGGGGAAAAGAGGCAACCCAGAGCUAAGGAUGGUUCCUACCUGCCGAGGCAUUCAGAGACAGAGCCUCUGGAAAUGAGAAUAUAAUUUAUCAAGCAGUGUGUGUUCAAUGAUUCAGAAAGAUCCAUAUGUGCUUUUGUUUCAGCCACUCUAAUGAGAAUGUGUCAACUCUAGUUAGAUUCUUCUAUUAUCAGGCUCAUUCCUGAUUAGUCAGAGUGGCUGCUCUCCAGAGAGGCAUAGUCUUACUGCAGGGAAGCACAAGGCUUGCAGAGAGGCUUUCUUCCUCACCUGGGACCUCUGGGUUAGGACUGAGCCCCUUCCACUGUCAAAAAUCAGUGUUACUUCCUAAGGAACUUGACCUUCCAGCAUCCUUAUCUACUGCCCGUUUUUAGCAAGCAAAGAAAAAGGUCUAGGGCAGGAUCUUCAAGAGUGAGUGAUUUAGAGGGAAGGGCAGGGCUGGAGCCAGAGGCCGAUGCAGAACAAGAGGUCACAUUGUUCAACAGACCAAAAGAAAAUGACAUUCCUUUCCGUUCCCUGCUGAAAUGAAGGUCAAGUCUUCCCGUUUGGAGACAACUGGUAUCCCAAGGUGACAGACUAUUUUACAGUCACACGAAUGUGUUGUCCAGCAAAUAGAUCCUGAAACACAUGAAUGGCCAAGGAUUAGUAUAAAUGUUCCACUCAAAGAAAAUGAUCUUCCCCCAGUUCUUGCAAAACCUUGUGCUUUUGUCUAGAAAGAGAAACCCUGGGGACAAAAAUGGAAACUGAGGGUGAAGCAAAUAAUUUUUUUUUCCAACUCAAUAUUCCACCUGCAAAGGGUGAAGAACGCGUAAGAAGUGCCAUAGCACUGGAAACUGAGCAGGCUUUUCUCCCUGCUAGCCGGACAUGGUCUACGUGGGAACAUCGCCUAAUGGCUUAUUUGUGAGGACGGCCAAGUAAGGAUGGGGUGACAAACAGAAGACAAGAUAACCGUAAGUGCUCCUCUGAAUUUAUUUCUAUGUCAUCGUUCUUGGGGGGUCUGGAACCGAGAUUCCUUACCUGUUGCUUUGGGCUGAGACUUUCAUGCUGAUUGCUUCAGAGGCAAUUUGCAUUCGAAAAUUUGCAAGUCAGGGAUGAAGCCUCACAGAUUUACCUUUUCUUUUAUUAAUGGGUGCAUGUCUCUAAGCCAUAUCAUCUGUUUCUUUCUUUCUUUUUUUUUAGUCUUUUUUUGCUUUUUCUAGGGGCACUCCCUUGGCAUAUGGAGGUUCCCAGGCUAGGGGUCUAAUUGGAGCUGUAGCUGCCAGCCUAUGCCAGAGCCACAACAACGCGGGAUCCCAGCCGCGUCUGCAACCUACACCACAGCUCACGGCAAUGCCGGAUCCUUAACCCGUUGAGCAAGGCCAGGGAUCGAACCCACAACCUCAUGGUUCCUAGUCAGAUUCAUUAAUCAACCACGAUGGGAACUCCAUUUCAUCAGUUUCUUGGGAAAAGUAACAACUCUGAGUCCUCAUGAGGACAUUGCAACUAAUGGCAAAAGUCAAGUCCCCCUUGGAAAAAAAUAAUCUCAGUGAUUCCUGGAUUAAAAUUCCACCUGUAAUUUGCUUCCUUUACUUUGAAUGAUAUCUGUGUUUUCAUUGACUAGUUCCUAGUGUUGGCUUUUUAAUAACAUCCUGAGGGAGUCAUGAGAUUGUUGGCAGUUUUAGCAAAUUACUGGAAUUUCUGUCACUCACCUUUUUGUGUUCUAAUAAUAAUAAUAAUAUAAUAAAUAAUUAUUAUUACUGAGUGCCUCCUAUCUGCUAAGCACUAGGUAAUUUUUAUAGCAAUCCUGUUUGAUGUUGGUGCUAUUGCUCACUUUAAGGAUUAUGAAGCUUGGGCACAGGGAUUAGCUAAGUGGUUUCUGCAUGCUAGCUGUUUUCUUGCUUGAUAUUAUAGCCUUUUUUUUUUUUUUUUUGCGUGUGUUCAAGGAGAGUCUUGCUGGUUCUGUGGGUUGAUUAAGGCAUGUUCCUGAUAUUUUACCUCUUUAUGCCUUCUUCCUGCCAUGUCAGGAGUAUCUCGUUCGAUUUUGUAAUUGUUUCUGAUCCUUUUCAAGUCAAAGCUGCUUACCUCACCCUUGAACAGGGUAUCAAAGUUGGCUGCUGGUGGUUGAUAGGUAUUAUCAGAGGCUGCAGAUCAGAAAAUGCUUUAUCAAAUAAAGUGGCUGAGGCUCCGAAAGGGCAAGGACAUAGGUAUUUCUUUCCAUCAGCGUGAUGGAACCUUAGUAAGAAUGAACUAAUUUGCUGUCUGAAUGGGUGUCUUUAACCAAGGCCUUAUAAACUACACUAAUACCACUUAUUAUCUAUUUGAAAUCUUGUAUUGAAAUGUCCUGAAACUCUAAAAGAGCUGAGCACACAAAGUUAGGCUUUUUCUAAAUGCUGAGUGAGUUGAGUCAGAAUGCACAGUAUGUUAAUUAGAUUUCUUUAACAUUUACCCACAUGCUGUCCAGUCACUACAUGUAGGAACCAAACAUUUUAAAAUAUGGAUACAAAAUGAGAGACUUAGGAAACAGGAUUUUUCAUAAGAUUUCCCCCAAGUGAUUAUAAAAUUUCCCCCAAUAUAUUCCUUGGGACUCUCACCCCACAAGUGUUUCUC
rnacentral:lncRNA from 1 species